rnacentral:rRNA from 1 species
UCUCCUGGAAACGGGUGGUAAUGCCGGAUGUUCCACAUGAGCGCAUGCGAGUGUGGGAAAGGCUUUUUGCGGCAUGGGAUGGGGUCGCGUCCUAUCAGCUUGUUGGUGGGGUAACGGCCUACCAAGGCGUUGACGGGUAGCCGGCCUGAGAGGGCGACCGGCCACAUUGGGACUGAGAUACGGCCCAGACUCCUACGGGAGGCAGCAGUGGGGAAUAUUGCACAAUGGGCGCAAGCCUGAUGCAGCGACGCCGCGUGCGGGAUGGAGGCCUUCGGGUUGUAAACCGCUUUUGUUCAAGGGCAAGGCACGGUUUUUGGCCGUGUUGAGUGGAUUGUUCGAAUAAGCACCGGCUAACUACGUGCCAGCAGCCGCGGUAAUACGUAGGGUGCAAGCGUUAUCCGGAUUUAUUGGGCGUAAAGGGCUCGUAGGCGGUUCGUCGCGUCCGGUGUGAAAGUCCAUCGCUUAACGGUGGAUCCGCGCCGGGUACGGGCGGGCUUGAGUGCGGUAGGGGAGACUGGAAUUCCCGGUGUAACGGUGGAAUGUGUAGAUAUCGGGAAGAACACCA